rnacentral:rRNA from 1 species
AAUGAACGUUGGCGGCGUGGAUUAGGCAUGCAAGUCGAGCGCGAACCCGCAAGGGGGAGAGCGGCAAACGGGGUAGUAACGGGUAGGUGACGUACCCUCGGGACGGGGAUAGCCACGGGAAACUGUGGGUAAUACCCGAUAACCUCGUAAGGCGUAAGGCCUUGAGAGCAAAGGUGUGAUUCCUCCGGAGGAGCGGCCUGCUUCGUAUUAGCUAGUUGGUGAGGUAACGGCGCACCAAGGCGACGAUGCGUAGGGGGUGUGAGAUCAUGACCCCCACCACUGGGACUGAGAUACUGCCCAGACACCUACGGGUGGCUGCAGUCGAGAAUCUUCGGCAAUGGGCGCAAGCCUGACCGAGCGACGCCGCGUGUGGGAUGAAGGCCCUUGGGUUGUAAACCACUGUCAGAGGGGAUGAAGUGUUCCGGAGCAAUCUCCGGGAUUUGACAUAGCCUCAGAGGAAGCACGGGCUAAGUUCGUGCCAGCAGCCGCGGUAAUAC